rnacentral:rRNA from 1 species
GUUCUCCUCCGGGGCGCAGCAGUGAGGAAUAUUGGUCAAUGGGCUUACGCCUGAACCAGCCAAGUCGCGUGCGGGCCGCCUGCCCUAUGGGUUGUACACCUCUUUUGUCAGGGAGCAACGCCGGCUACGUGUAGCCGGACUGAGAGUACCUGAAGAAAAAGCAUCGGCUAACUCCGUGCCAGCAGCCGCGGUAAUACGGAGGAUGCGAGCGUUAUCCGGAUUUAUUGGGUUUAAAGGGUGCGUAGGCGGAAUGCCAAGUCAGCGGUAAAAUCGCGGGGCUCAACCUCGCUCCGCCGUUGAAACUG